ACAUCUUCUUAUCUUCUUUGUUGUUUCCCUCUGCGAAGUGCUAACGCGUUAGCUAGUGACGGGGUGAUGAUUCUUCUAACCGCGUGCGUCUUUGAGAUUUUUCUGAAUCGAUCAUUGUUCCUAUUUCUGGGUUCUCAUUGGUGUUUUUGGGAGAGUAUUAUAACCUAAUUAUCGCUUUCGACUCUGAAAUUUCUAGGGUUUGAUUUUCUAAAUUGGAUUAUGGAGGAUGCUAUCUAUGAACGAUCGGUGAUUGAGGAGAUCUAUCGAAGAUAAUCGUGGAGGAGGACGCUUUCAUAAUCGCUCGGUGAUGGUUUCGAUGGAUCGUUUUGUCUUCUCUGGGAUACAUCCUCUUCAGGUUCUUGGAGUGUAGAAGCUGCUGAGGAAUUCUAAAAGGGAGUCUGGACCAAACCUUGAGGAAGACGACGAAGUAAGGGAUUAGAUAUUUUGAUUGGAGCCACAUUCGUUUUUGUUGCAUCAGGCUCAAGGAUUGUCAAAUUUUCUCAAGGCUACCCUGAGAAAGGUUUCGGUGGACAUGAUGAUGACUUGCUUAAAGCGCAACACCAUUUAUGGUUCAAAGUUCAAACACCUAUCCUCCCACGAAAGGGAAAGGGUUUCUGAGGUUUCUUUGGUUUGCUUGCCAUGAUCUCACUUUGGUCAUUUUGAUGGUUGCUGCAGUAGCGUUUUUAGCACUUGGGAUCAAAUACAGAGGGUAUCAAAGAAGGAUGGUAUGAUGGAGGGUUCAUUGCAUUUGGAGUGAUUCUUGUCACAGCUCUCAGUGACUACAAACAGCCUCUCCAGCCUCAUAACCUGAAUGAUGAAUAGAGAAACAUACAUCUGGAGGUAUAGAUUUGCACCAAUGUGACAAGAGGUGGAAGACGAGUGAAAAUCUCAAUCUAUGACAUUGUGGUGGGUUAUGUCAUACCUCUCGACAUCGACAAUCAGUUCCUGCGGAUGGAGUGCUAAUAUUUUCAUGACUGGAGAGAGCAAAAUGGUUAACAAAGACUCUAACAAGGACCCAUUCGUAUUUUCUGGCUGUAAAGUGGCAGAUGGAAAUGGUGUUAUGUUGAUGUUUUUGGAAGCGAAUCAUUAUCAGAUCAUCUCUUUCGAUUCUGCAAUUUCAUCUUCUUUUAGGAUUGUGGAGAAUAAUACUAUUGAUCGAUUUGUGAUUGAUGAGGAAGAUAUUAAGAUCUUUCGGUUUUCUUUCUUUUUUCUCUCAGGUUGGUGAGAACCCAACAACGUCUGGCUGAGGAGAUUUUGGAAUUACUCCGGAACAGCUUAGCAUAUUGUUGUCAUAGGAUCACAAUAUGGAGGGGCUUCAAGGAUUGUCAUAUUUGCUCAGGACUACCAGAGAAAGGCAUCAGUGGAGUGGAGAUAAUGAUGAUGAUUUGCUAAAGCGCAAGACCAUAUAUGGUUUCUGGUUUCUUUCGGAUUCUUGCCAUGAUCUCUCACUUUGAUGGUUUCUUUCGGAAUCAGGUUCCUGCGGAUGGAGUGCUAAUACUUGGGAGGAUGACUGGAGAUAACAAAAUCGUGU